UUAAACAAAAGUUGUUGUUGUUUCUAUUUUUCACUAUUCAUAUAGUAACUACUCCAUUCCAGAAAAGUGAUAGGAUUUAUAACUAUGAUUUCCAUUUUCACAGCAACCCUGUGGUAGAGAGGACACUAGGUGCUCAUCAAAUCCUCUUUUUCUCCUGGAACUACGUUUCCCAGCAUCCUAUGCUAUUGGGUUGCAUCACGUGAAGGUUCUGGCCAAUGGAAUGUGGGCAGGAGUAAUAGAUGCAUGUCUCGCAUGUCUGGCUUCUAAAGAAUAUCAUGUGCAAUCUUUUUUACACACCCACACUCACUCUUCCCUUGUGGGAUGCUGAAAUAGAAAAUCUAAUGAUGGACUCAGCCACUGGACUGAAUUUCUGUAUAAUCAUAGGUAAUAGUCCCCUGGCCUCUGCUCAGCUUCAUUGGACUGAAAUAUUAAGUUUGUUUAGUCACUGAGAUUUAGGGGGAGGUGUUUAUUAGGAAGUUGCCUCACCUAAAGCAGAGGUAUUUGUAUCAUUGUUUUUGAUACAAUGACUCAGAGACACUAAAAAAAAAAACCUGCCAAGCUCACAGAGCACAUGGGUGACAAAUCUGGUUUUGAGCUCAGGUUACGUCUUUUCCACUCCACCAGGCUAACUAGAUGGCUGCUCCUGUACAGAUGUUGCGUUGGCCUUUGUCUGUCUCUUGAGGAGUCACAGAAGGAAAG
rnacentral:lncRNA from 1 species